rnacentral:rRNA from 1 species
UCCUAUGGCCAUACCACGUUGAAAAUACCAGUUCUUGUCCGCUCACCAAAGUCAAGCAAUGUUGGGUGUCAUUAGUACUUAUAUGGAUGACCGCUUGGGAACACCACAUGUUGCAGACA